ACUAUAUAUAGCGUUUGAGGUGCCUCCGAUUCGCAAGGAUUGGAAGCUAAGAGGGAAUUCGGUGACAGCGGCGCCUUAGGCGCCGAACCAUGCCGAAGCUGCCCCCGCAACUGUGAACGGUGAGUUCUUGUUCGACUAUGCCACUGAGCCCAUGCGGCUCGGGAAGGCCGGGCAAGGGCGACGACUCGUGAGCCAGGAGACCUGCCUCGAACAGAUACGUCCA
rnacentral:ncRNA from 2 species